rnacentral:misc_RNA from 1 species
UUUCCGUAGGUGAACCUGCGGAAGGAUCAUUACAGAGUUCAUGCCCUCACGGGUAGAUCUCCCACCCUUAAAUGUUUAUACCUUAGUUGCUUUGGCAGGCCGUGGAAACACCAUGGGCUCCGGCUUAUGCGUGCCUGCCAGAGGAAACAAACUCUGUUUUUAGUGAUGUCUGAGUACUAUAUAAUAGUUAAAACUUUCAACAACGGAUCUCUUGGUUCUG